AAAAAGAGUUGAUUAAAAACUUGGAAAAGUUAGUUUUUAUGAAAGGGUGAAAAUAUGAAAGGAAACAAGAAAAAGAAAUCACCCUUGAAACCAUAGAGCAAAGAAAAAGAAAAGAAAAAAAAACAAAGAAAAGGCUCAUGGUUGUGUGGAUGUAAAAAAUAAGAAAAGAAAAAAAUGGGGAUCAAAGAAAUGGUAAUUGU
rnacentral:lncRNA from 1 species